ensembl:lncRNA
GAGAAAACGCACAGACCAGAAGACACCCAGACAGUGGGCUGUUCUCACUGACGACAUUUGUGCCGCAUUCCUCCUCGCCCCUGGAGUGCAUUGCGACACUCAGACUGGUGGUUCUGGGAGCCAAGCAGCUGAUGGGAGAGCCUCAGGAGGCAGCAGAGACAAAUUAAUCUUCAGAUCCACCAGUUCCCCUGAAACAUACCACUUGCUAAACUGAAUUUCAAGCCAAGAGCGGCAGUUUUCCACAGCCCAAGUCUGGAAAAGCCUGUGAAACCAUGUUGGGUUCGAAACCAAAGUUGGUUUUUUGCUGUUUUUCGUGGAGCACCAGAGGGACAACUCCAGAAUUCCAGAUGUGAGGCAGCUGGAGGGACGUGUGUGUCCAGACAUCUGCACAGCAGCUUCAGAAAGGCGACCACGGACAGCAGCUAAAAACCACCACUGACGACCUUCUUUCUCUUUUCUUACCUGAACCUCUGGACUUACUUGUCUGAAAAGAGAGAGGAAAAAAAAAAAGCUGGCACUCAUUGUUUUGUUUUCUCAAUUUUCUUGUCAACUGACUCAUGAUAAAAGAAUGUCCUUUUCAAUCAAUUUCAAUUCCGCAGAACAGAAAAAUAGAGAAUUUAUAGGCAACUAUUGGAAACAAAGGAACCAUCUGUUUUUUUAAGUAUAAUUUUUCUCUGAAAUCGUUCUCUCCAAAUACUUGGAUCAUUUAUUUUCCCUCACCGCACCACUCUGCAGUGACCCAGAGAACCCCAUUGUCCAACCCAGGGAUCAAGGUGGAGAGAGAGGAGCACCACCUCCACCCUGCCAUCCCAUUCAAGAAUACACCCAGAGGCUGCAAUCAGGCUUCAGAAGCUUCUGGACGCCCACAAGCUGGAGACUCUAUGUAGGACUUGACCAGGAGCCACACCUGAAGCAGCAAGAGAAUGGUACCCAGCUCACUGCUGCCUUCUGAAUCUCACGCUGGGACAUCAGGACACUGGAUCCAAUUAUUUAUUCUCAUCUACCUCCCCACUGGCCAUAAAAAU